rnacentral:rRNA from 1 species
UACAGAGGUCCCAAGCGUUGUUCGGAUUCACUGGGCGUAAAGGGUGCGUAGGUGGCCGGUUAAGUCUGACGUGAAAUCUCCGAGCCUAACUCGGAAACUGCAUCGGAAACUAUCCGGCUCGAGGGUUGGAGGGGGGACUGGAAUACUUGGUGUAGCAGUGAAAUGCGUAGAUAUCAAGUGGAACACCAGUGGCGAAGGCGAGUCCCUGGACAGCUCCUGACACUGAGGCACGAAAGCUAGGGGAGCAAACAGG